UCUGUUGGGCUGGGCAGUGGACACCGAGCGUCGAACCAUCUGGAUCCCUCCUGACCCUACCAUCGCUCGCAACUCCCAGCUCCGCCGCCUUCCUUCCUUCUCCACCGACGAGGUCCGCCCAAACUGAUCCCUCCUGACCCUACCAUCUCUCGUGACCCCCGCUCCGCCGCCUUCCUACCUUCUCCACCGACGAGGCCUCCCCUAACUCCGCAGCUGCCCCUCCUCAGCCAUACUCUCGUGUAUAUGGAGAAACAUCCUCCCUUCUCAGGGCGGACAUCAACAUAAGGCCGUGGGGUGCACUACGGAAAGAUUUGGAUGCUGGCAAUAGGAGGGCGAGAUGGUAGAUAGAGAACCUUACGCUUACUGGAAAGGAAAUCUAGAUGUCACACUAUAACGCAAGAGCUGGUUGUUUCCAGUAAAGCAAGAAUGGAAUGCAUGGAUUUACAGGCAGGUAAUUGUUUGGGUUUACGUUACACUGCACUCUUUUAUAUGGAAAUCUAUCUUUCCUUUUUUUUCCUUCUAAUAAGUAGAAAAUCCUACUAUUGUCUACUAUAAAAAAUUAAGUCACCUCUGAAAAUGUUAUAAUCCUUCUGAUCUAGGUUUCAAAUAAAAUAAGAUGGUCUUAUGACUGAUUAGUGCUUAGCUGGUUUACUUUUGUUUUCCCAUUUAGGAUUGGAUCAAACAUAGCAAGGUAGGAUACAAAAAAUCAGAUUUGGCCAGUCAUUGUACCCACAUGUUUGCCUCUGUUAUAAGAUAGUUUUCUUCUUUCGUCAAUGUUGAAACUGUGAUGUUCGAUUAUAGAUACAAGAUCUACAUUGAAGGAUCAGCAUGGUCAAUCAGUGAUAAGUAUAUCCUAGCUUGUGAUUCAAUGACGCUGGUGAUUUACUACGAUUUCUUUUCAAGGGUGCUGAUGCCCACUAAGCAUUAUUGGCCAGUUCGAGAUGACAGCAAGUGCAGCUCCAUAAAGUACGAUGUUGACUAGGGAAAUCGAUAUAUUUAGCAAGAUAGCACGUGUGGUUUCUAAUUAUGCUUUACCUGAAUUAGUUUAGUACCUGGACAUUAGAUUGGUAGUUUACCCGCAUAUGAUUGGAGGUCAUCAGAAACUAUUGAAAAGGAAAUAUGUCACAAUUUAGGUAUUUUGAGAGAAACGUUGUUAUGAGAUCUACAAUCUCUAAUAUCUAAUUUUAGCUCCUCUUGUCAUGGUGCUAUAGUUAGCUUUUUUUGCUAUCUUCUUUUUUAUAUAUUAACAGCCAAAUGGUAGAGUUCACUUCAUCUUUGAUUCCAGUAUAGCAUGGGUAGCCUCCAUCCAGUAUAUGUAAAGCACCAGGUAUUAAACUACUUUUAUCCAUCCAUGUCAGGAGAAGAUGACAUUUGCUCAUGUGUGUUACAAUACCUAUGGAUGAAUCUAUUGUAGAAGUUACCUUGUGAUUACUUAACAUAUGGAACCUAACUAUACUAUAUGAUGAGUUAAUCACUCAGCUACUUCUACUGUCUUUUUGUACCACAUUUAAACUUUUCUUUUAGCAAGGCUGUGCCAUGUGUACGUUUUCAAUUAGCAUGGCUUUGCUUCUUUUCUUUUGACACUACUUCAUAUUUCUGUAGUGCUUAUUUUGUCAAUAGUUGCUAACUGUGUUGCCACUGCUCUUGAAUUUGGUUCAGCUGCUGCUCCAGCCUUGACGGUGUUGUUAAAGAUGGUUCCUGGCUUCCAUCUUGCGAAUUUAGUACCGAGGUUUAUCUUCGUGUUUUUUUUUUACUUUCAGUCAAUACAUGGUAUUUUUGGUCAUCCAACGAAGUAUUUUCACCAUGAUCUUCGUUGUAUCGUAAGUAUCCUGUGACAUGUUUCCAUACAGCCAUUGCAAGAAGACAUUGCAAAUGUCCAGGGCCACCUAUGGUAGGUGAUGCCGAUGGACAUCCCUUCAUCAUGACUUUGCAAUCCUAGCACGAGCCAGGAGGAAUCUACUCAUGCGUGGUGUAUAGUGUACUGGCGCUUAAUACUUAGUAGGUAACAAACAAAGGUGGAAUGUAUUUGCUGUGAACAAUGCGUAUAAACCAGGUUUUUCCAUGCUAAUGGUUUUAGUUCUAUUUAAGUUAUCUUUUGGUCCCGUGAA